GAACACCAGGAACUGGAUCUAAUCAUUUCUUGGGAUGACUCCAGUGGUGUGCUGGUAAAAGGUUAACGACCAGAUCCCUGGAGGGAAAAGUUUGUCCUGGUGCAAAUGUCCCCACUGUGGCCAACUUCCAGCUGCUAACAGAACUCUGAUAUGACAGGGACAAAGCCCACCCCGGCCAACCCGAGAAGGGAAAGGCCCACCGCGAAUUAGUCAGGGCUGUCGAGGCCACUGGCUUCUUGGAGGAGGAGUGUGUCCUGAGUCCGUUCACGCUGGACUUGACAUCGUGGCUCUCGAGACGCUGCUUGGGGCCGGGACAGUCCCGGCCUCAGUCACGGCGCUCCCGCUCUUCACGGCCGUGAAGUCCACUGUCAGCAGAGGAGGCCGCUCGUGUGUCGUCCCUGAGUGAGGGCCCAGGGGUUCCGUUUUCAUCUUCCAUAAUUACACAAGCAUGAGCUUCAUGCAAUUUUGAGCAACCGCUGCAGGAGAUUUACCUUGUCCAAACCUUGGCAGAAAUCAUAAAUAGUCUGCAGAGGCGAAGUCAGAUGAGAGAACAAUAAACAAACCUCAGAAAACAAUCUGACAGACGUGAGUCGGGUGCAGCCCUGGGCACAACACGCAGACCACAGAAGCGGGAGCGGCGGGCUCUCAGGCGGGACCGGGCACACCGGCAUCCGGGGGCUCGAGAGUCAGGUGGAGACACAGACGCCGCAGGCCGGCAGAAGACUAAGACGAAAUGACGAGCUCGGCUGUCUCUGAGAAACCAAAGAAAGCAGAUGUGGCAACAUGGCAAAAAGACAAAGCAGGAUUUGGGCUUCUGGGGGCGUGUAUCUUAUGUUGAAUACGUGUGACCAUAUAACUGGGAGGGAUUGGGGGCAGG
ensembl:lncRNA